rnacentral:rRNA from 1 species
GUCUUUUUGAUUAAAUAAUAAGUCCCAUCUGCUCCUGAGUAUUUAAAGAGCCGCAGUAUAUUGACUGUGCAAAGGUAGCAUAAUCAAUAGUUUUUUAAUUGAAAACUAGAAUGAAAGAUUAGACGAGGGUUAUAUUUUCUUUAUUUUAAUAGAUUUAAUUUUAAUUUUGAGUGAAAAUGCUUAAAUUAUUUUAAAAGACGAGAAGACCCUAUAGAUUUUUAUUGUUGAUGUUUAAGUUAAGAUUUUAUUUAGAUAAGAUAAUUUAAUUGGGGCGAUUUUAUAAAAUAAUAAACUUAAUUUUUUUUUUACCAUAAAUAAGUGAAUUUUUUGAUCUAAAAAUUUUAAAGAAAAGAUUAAAUUACCUUAGGGAUAACAGCGUAAUUUUAUUUAAGAGUUCAUAUCUAUAAUAAAGUUUGCGACCUCGAUGUUGAAUUAAGUUAAUAUAUUGAAGCAGAAAUUAAUAUAAUUAGUCUGUUCGACUAUUAAAUUCU